CUAUGACACAUGCUGCUGAGAAAUUAGAUUGCUGCCAAAUAUUAAAACAGGAUGUUAGAGCAAAUUCACAAAGAUGACGGCAUCUCUACUUUACCACCCAUCUGCUU
rnacentral:lncRNA from 12 species